rnacentral:tRNA from 1 species
GCCUUCGUGGUGUAGUGGUCAGCACGCUCGACGUGUGUUCGAGACGUCCGUGGUUCAAGUCCCGGCGACGGCA